UACAGAGGGUGCGAGCGUUGUCCGGAAUCACUGGGCGUAAAGGGCGCGUAGGUGGCGCCCCAAGUCAGUGGUGAAAGCUCGAUGCUCAACAUCGAGUCGGCCACUGAGACUGGGGGGCUCGAGCACUGUAGAGGCAGAUGGAAUUCCGGGUGUAGCGGUGGAAUGCGUAGAGAUCCGGAAGAACACCGGUGGCGAAGGCGGUCUGCUGGGCAGUUGCUGACACUGAGGCGCGACAGCGUGGGGAGCAAACAGG
rnacentral:rRNA from 2 species